CAAGAGCUCAAAUUUGAAAGCUGGCCCCUUCGGGGUCCGCAUUGUAAUUUGCAGAGGAUGCUUCGGGAGCGGCCCCCAUCUAAGUGCCCUGGAACGGGCCGUCAUAGAGGGUGAGAAUCCCGUCUGGGAUGGGGUGCCCGCGCCCGUGUGAAGCUCCUUCGACGAGUCGAGUUGUUUGGGAAUGCAGCUCUAAAUGGGUGGUAAAUUUCAUCUAAAGCUAAAUACUGGCCGGAGACCGAUAGCGCACAAGUAGAGUGAUCGAAAGAUGAAAAGCACUUUGAAAAGAGAGUUAAACAGCACGUGAAAUUGUUGAAAGGGAAGCGCUUGCGACCAGACUCGCUCGCGGGGUUCAGCCGGCCUUCGGGCCGGUGUACUUCCCCGCGGGCGGGCCAGCGUCGGUUUGGGCGGCCGGUCAAAGGCCCUCGGAAUGUAACGCCCCCCGGGGCGUCUUAUAGCCGAGGGUGCCAUGCGGCCAGCCCGGA
rnacentral:rRNA from 1 species